rnacentral:rRNA from 1 species
UACGGAGGGUGCGAGCGUUGUCCGGAAUCACUGGGCGUAAAGGGCGCGUAGGCGGCCUGAUAAGUAGGGGGUGAAAUCCUGCGGCUUAACCGCAGGGCUGCCUUCUAAACUGUCAGGCUCGAGCACAGUAGAGGCAGGUGGAAUUCCCGGUGUAGCGGUGGAAUGCGUAGAGAUCGGGAAGAACAUCAGUGGCGAAGGCGACUACCUGGCCUGUUCUUGACGCUGAGGCGCGAAAGCUAGGGGAGCAAACGGG